ensembl:lncRNA novel transcript
AACCACUCAACUACCGGGGGUGGGAGACCACCCUUAUGUCCAUUCUCUGCUGAGAGCUGUUCCGUCACUGGAUAAAAUUAUUCUCUGCCCUUCUCACCCUUCAAUUGACAGCAUAUCCUCAUUCUUCUUGGAUGUGGGACAAGAGCUUGAGAACUGCGAAACACAGGAUGGAAUUGGGAUGAAGAAGGAGAGAUAUUCUUUAAACAUUUUUUAAUAGAGAAGAAGAAAAAUUGACUGGAAGUGCUCAAACUGCAGCUAGGUGUAUCAGCUUAGCAGGGUCAAGAUCCUUGUUUAAUUACACUAGUUUCUUACCUCUCCACCUCUUCACACCUUGAAUGCAAGAGUUGUACGUUAAUUUAAUGAGCAAGUGAAUGCACAGAAAAGUCAAAGAUAAAAUUAAGUAGUGUUAAAGUGGUGUGAAAAUACCUUUACAACCAAGAAGAAUCUUCUUAUUAAAAGACCUAGAAGAUAAGGUCUCACUUUGUCACCCAGGCUGGAGUGCAGUGGUGCGAUCUCGGUUUACUACAGCCUGGACCUCCUGGGCUCAAGGGAUCCUCCCACCUCAGCUCCCUACCCUCAAGUAGCUGGGACUACAGACAAAAUGGUUCAAUAAUGAUCCUCAGACUGAUCAAGACUCUCUGGGACCUUUGGCAGCUUAUUCGGUUCCUCAAAUAUUUGAAGAAGCUCAAAAAUUAGAUCUUCUUUAUCUUCAGAGUCCAGCUUGCCAUAAGAUUUAACCUCAAAUUAAGUGUACUGAAGACCGAAGGGACCCAUGAGGCUUUCUGCAAAUAGCAACCAAUGAGGACCUUGGGAUUUCAUCAGACAAUGUGCAUAUAUGAAAGAAGAGUGCUUGAUGAAGUUGUGUUUAUUGUUGACAAGCUGUGCUCCAGAAGAUACAUAGUGAGAAGAUGGCUGUCUGCAAGCCAGGAGGAGAGCCCUCACCAUAAAAGGAACAGUGUGCAGUCCAUCUUCCAAGUUUCCAGAAGCGGCUGAGAUUUUUAAAAACAGCUGUAAUCUGCGGUCAUUGAUGGUGGAGUAGAUUGUUUGCCAAACUAUUACCAUAACUGUCAACCGAAAUCAGAAAAAUAAUCUCAUUGUGCUGGACAGAUGCGUUUCCUGCAUUAUUGAUAUAGUCACUCUGGAGUAAUAGAGAAAUAUAAAGCAUUGUUCUAUUUACAAAAGGAGAUUGGCCAAGUCCUUGAAAGAUCCCCUGAAAUGCUGGGCACACUGACUAGCCUCUUGUAUAGAGUCUCAAGCCUGUGGCCAGAAGCAGCUGUGUGAAGUAGCCGCUGUGAUGGAUUGGGACCACAGAUACCACUUUGGAAGGAAAGGUUCCAGAAACCAAAGCUUGGGCCAUGGGUCUCUGGGAAACUGCAGCAGGAGUUUAGAGUCUAAUGGAUGGAACACAGAAGCAGGAAAAAAAUUGCUGUAGAAUAUGAUAAAGAUUAAUAGAGGAGUCUGCAAUAAAGACUGACAGAUUGGAAAGAUACUUAAAAAACAAAUCAGCAGGACUUAGCAGGUUAUUGAAUGUGGGAUGCUGGCAAUUUUAAGGAAAAAAUAGUGUUCACGGUACUCCUUUGUAAGUAUAGACAUGCCUCUGCAGAGAACCAUUUUUCUGAAAUUGAUAUAUACAGAUAAAUUGCAAUGGAUAGCUUGCUAGCUAUUUGGAGAAGUCACCUGGAAAAGUCAUAUUGCAAUUUAAAUAUCAUAACGAUGGAGUAUAAAGUUUGGACUGGACAGUAUCAAUAUUUAUAUAAAUUCAAUUAUGAAUGGAA